rnacentral:rRNA from 1 species
UGGGGGAUAUGGCAAAAGGGGCGAAAGCCUGAUGCAGCGACGCCGCGUGGGGGAUGAAGGCCUUCGGGUUGUAAACUUUUUGUGCGCUGAACAAGGCAUGCCUUUGGGGUGUGUUGAGUGUAGGGGUUGAUUAGCGCCGGCUAACGACGUGCCAGCAGACGCGGUAAUACGUAUGGAGCGAGCGUUGUCCGGAAUUAUUGGGCGUGAAGGGUGCGCAGGCGGCUUUACAAGUUGGAUGUGAAAUAUUGUGGCUCAACCACAAACGUGCAUCCAAAACUGCAAAGCUUGAGUUAAGGAGAGGUAAGUGGAAUUCCUGGUGUAGCGGUGGAAUGCGUAGAUAUCAGGAGGAAUACCGGUGGCGAAGGCGACUUACUGGACUUAAACUGACGCUCAGGCACGAAAGCGUGGGGAGCAAACAGG